rnacentral:lncRNA from 1 species
UCUUUUCAGCAUCCUAACAAAAAUUUAGCAACGCCAAAAUUUGUUAGGAUUUUGUCAUAAAGCGACUCUCUUUUCAAUUAGAAGAUUAUCGGUGGAGCAAAAGAUAUGCUAUUUUGACGUAGAAACUGCAUGAGACUUCAAAACCUGGUCAAGAUCAAAGAUCAAAGAGGCAGGUAGCAGGAGGGUGGCAGAAACAUGUAAACUCCUAUAUAUGUGAAUCAAUUUGUACAGGGCAUUUGUACAUGUGCUUGUCUGGUCCAGCUUGACUAACAUCCCAACAUGGCUCAUGCAAGAUCAGACUCACCCCUGGGAAGUAAUGCAAGGGGAUCACCAAUAUCUUCACACAGAAUGUCAGGCCCUGUGAAAAAG